rnacentral:lncRNA from 1 species
GACAUUUCAUUUACCCUUGAACUAGAAACAUAAACUACUGUUUGAUGUGAGGAAAUAAAGAAUUCAAGAAUGAGGCAAAUACUUGAUAUGCUUCACUUCAACUUUGAAUCAGUUUUAUAUGGGAACUGAGAAGUGCCCACCCGCUGAGCUCCUAAAGAGCCUACUUUGCAACUCAAUCUAACUGAACCAAGCAACAGAACCCAGGUCUCUUUUCAGGAACUCAGUAACCAGUCGCUGCUAUCAGGUAUAGUUGUCACUGGAACAAGAGUCCUGAAUAUGGAAAGAAUGACCGAGGGACACUGUCUUGGUGGGACUCCACAGAAAACGUAAGAUAGUAUUCGGCAUGGUAAGCAACAUACAGCAUCAAGCAUAUUAGCGCUAUAAGUUUUAUCUUUUGAAGGCUGUUGAUUGCAAUUGUGAAAAAAGGAUACAGGCUAGAAUGAGUAAGAGUUGUCCCAACAGUGAUAUCAGUUAGGGGUUGACAGUGGAAAAUGUGACUUGCAAAUUCUAAAAAGGCAUUUGUCCACAGUCAAGAACUGCAUCAGGGCCGGGCAGUGUUGGCACACAUCUUUAAUCCCAGCACUUGGGAGGCAGCGGCAGGCAGAUUCUGACUUCGAGGCAUGCUUCAGGAUCAUGCUUGCUGCCAAGAGUGAUUGGUGUGACAUGCUGUCACAAAGGGAUAAUUCUGACAUGUGAGCUUGUUGAGUGCCCUGACAAUGGUGACAGGAAAGCUGUAUUGGGUAUAUGUUCUUGACCCACCUUUGCUUUCCUAUAUCCCAGAUUAUACAAGCUGGCUUGCUUCAAGGUUUUACACUUUGUGAGACAGAGAACAUAGAGACUGUGGAAACUGAUUAGAAAAAUUAAUCAAAAUGAAUAUUUAUAAUGACUUUUCUCUUUCCUUUAAAGUGCCCAGUUAUUUUAACUCAGUGAUGGACUGACUGGUCUAGAAAUAAGUCCAAUGUUGGAUAUUCUAAUUACGAAGAUAGCUAAAAUAUCUUUAUCAGCCAGCUUACCUGACUCUUACCACUAUUGACCUGAGAAGUAACAGUUUUUUUCUGUUGAUUCCCAAACCACAUCCCCCACACUAAGAGGCCAGGCCCUGGCACUGAUCUUUGCUAAUUUGCAACUGAAUUGAGUGCCUGGGACAUCCCCACAGAUAACUUUAACUCUGCUCCUUUUAACUUUUCACUUUGUUUUUUAAACAGGUAGGUUACUUCCAUACAGUCUCACCUUCAGCAAAGCUCAGAUAUGGCAGUUAUUCAUCACUCUGUAGAGAUGCAUUGAGUGCUUAUUGUGGCUUUGGUCUGAAUGAAAAAAAGAUGUGCUAUGAGGUACAGCAGCCAAAGAUGGACCAAUGAUGAUUCUAUUGACUCUUAUCAAACUUAGACAGAGGCAUGUGCCAAAAGGAUAUGUUUGUUCAUUAUAAACACUAAAAGGCUAUGCUUGUGCAAAUAAACACAAAUAAGCUGCAUGUGUUCUCCUGGAUGGGUCAGAAGGAGUCUAGACAUUCAGACCCAAGGCAGGCAGAGCCACCAGCCACCAUAAUUCCCAAACAGGGCCAUGGAGGAUAAGUAAAUUUUAUGCAUCAGCCCAGCUAAUUUUUAAUAAAUAAAAAGGGAGGAACUGUAACACCCCCUCUCCCCAGUCUUAAGCUGGCUGAACAAGUCUAUGACACUGGAGCCAGGCAUCUGGCUCUGCUACAUGUACAUCUUCCUGUCAGAGGACUGACUGACAACUGCCUGCCCACUGAGCUGCUGAAGAGCCUACUUUGCAACUCAAUCCAGCUGAAACAAACAACAGAAAUUCACCCAAAACAAAGGGAUGGGUCUUUGGGUUUUCCCAUAUUUAUUCAGUGACAUACAUUAAAGAUUGAGCCUUGAUUAGAGAACUUUGUCUUGGCUCAUUAUUUCUCUUGCCAUCCUUUCCGUCCAUCCAUAGCUUUCCUUUUAGGAACCUAGUAAAAUUUGGCCACUUGCUGCUAAAUCAGAUUAUUGUUGGACUUACUGAAAUCAACUUGCUUAGCACCGUGUGGCAGUUUGUAUAUCCUUGGACCAGGGAGUGGCACCAUCUGGAGGUGUGGCUUUGUUGGAAUAGGUGUGACCUGGUUGGAAUGGGUUGUCACUGUGGGUGUGGGCAUAAGAUCCUCACCCUAGUUGCCUGGAAGUCAGUCUUCCAGUAGCAGCCUUUGGCUGAACUCUCAGCUCUGCCUGUGCCAUGCCUGCCUGGAUGCUGCCAUGCUCCCACCUUGAUGUUAAUAGACUAAACAUCUGGAACUGUAAGCCAGCCCCAAUGAAAUGUUUUUUAUAAGACUUGCCUUGGUCAUGGUAUCUGUUCACAGCAGUAAAACGCUAACUAAGACACACCCCAAAUCUAGCAUGGUUCCCUGGAAACCAGAGGUAAAGACAGAAUUAGAGGGCAAAGAGAUUAUUAGCCAGUAACUCAUGAAGGAUGAAGGGAGCCAGGAGACAGCAGAAUCAAGAAAGGGAAGUGAUCCUGUGUUAGUCAGAAAUGCUAUGGCAUAGUUUUGUUCAUUCAUGAGGGGUUGCACCACAAAGCAAUUAACAGCUGGGACUACUAGCUUUUCACACUCCUCACAACCAAGCAGUCUUUUCUUCAAGGGGAAGACUCCAAUUUAUAUUGACUCUUGAUGUCUGUCAUUCCAAUCUGCUACUGAACACAGAUAGUCUUUUCCUAAGAGGUCUUGAGUCCUCUCCCUAAUAGGUAUCUAUCAUAGGAAUAUUGCAAUACAAUGAUAUUUAACUCAGGGGAACAUGUAAUCUGAGGCCAAGAACAAUGUGUACUCACUACAAUUGCUUAGACAGGUCAGCACCUUGGCAGGCACAGAGUUAGCAUUCAGUCACUAAUACUUGAACAAGGGAAAGCAGGAUGACUUGGGAGAGGCUGGAGAGAUGACUCCUGGUUAUGAGCACUUGCCUGCUCUUUCAGAGGACCUGGGCUAAAUUCCCAAAACUAACAUGGUGGCUUACAGGAAUUCAUAACUAUAGUUCCAGAGGGUAUGAUACUCUAUGUGUGCAGUGCAUGCAUGUGGUGAACAGACAUAGGCAUAAGCAAAACACUCACACACAUUAAAUAAUCUAUUAAAAUAGGAAAGAAUUAACCAGACCAACAGGAAGUGGGCAGAGGGCUGUCUAGGGUGUUGAGAGUGUACACAUAAGCAAAGUCCAUGGCAAAUAGGAGCACAGGUAGUUCAGAGAGCCAAAGGACCCUUACCCAAACACAGGGAGCAUAGGAGUUACAAAGUGAGUCAAGGCUAGAAAGGGGGUUGUGUCAGUUUGCUGGGGCUGCUCUUGUGAAGUCAUGCAGUAUGGGUGACUUCAACAGCAAGAAUUGAACUUUCUCAUUUUUGGCAGCUAGAACUCUGAGAGCAAGGUGUUCAAUGGGGCUUGCUUCUUCUGAGAUCUUUCUCAUUGGUUGAAUCAUAGGCAGCUGCCUUCUGGGGUCUUCAGGAAGUAUCCCCUCUGAUCCAGCCUGUAUCCUAGCCUUUUCUUUUAAGGACACUGGUCAUAUCAUCUUAGGGUUCACCCUAAUGACCACAUCUUACCAUAUUUACACCGAAUCACACCCUCAGGCACUGUGGUUCUAAAGCUUCCAGUGUAUAUAUUUUUAGUGGUCACAGCUCACCCCUUGUCAGUUCAUGUGGGUCCAAGAGGUGCUUUGGUAGGGGUCAGUUUACAUGUAAAUGGGAAGGAACUGAAACAUUUUAGAACUACAGUAGGAACAUGGGCAGAGGUGUGCUUUCGAAGUACAUCUGGCUGCAUUUAGAGAACAAAUGAUGAAAGGAAGGUGAGGGAAGAAAGAAAGAAGGUGCUAUCAGCAGUUCUCAACAUGUAGGUCGUGACCCCACAGGGCGUUAUCAAUUCUUGGGUCUUGACCCUCUGGAGGUCACAUGUCCUAUUAUCUGCAUAUCAGAUAUUUACACUUAAAUUCAUAACGACUUCAAAAUGACCUUUAUGAAAUAGUGAGGAAAUUAUUUUUUGGUUGGAGGUCACCACAUCAUAAAGAAGCUGUUUAUAUAUUAGGCUCAGGACUUUCCCCUUGAAAUGCAUUGAAUGGAACCAUAUAUACCUACCUAUCCCGAGCUUUUGUCCCCACCGGCAAGAACACGCUCAGGACAACCGGAAUCUUCUGCGGCAAAAGCUUUAUUGCUUACUUCUUCAGGAGCAAGAGGAGAAGAGAGAUGAAUGGCAAAACCCCGUCCCUUUUAUGGAGGAUUGUCCUCCGCCUCAGACGUGUCGCUCCCUGAUUGGCUGCAGCCCAUCGACCGAGUUGUCGUCACAGGGAAGGCAGAGCACAUGGAGUGGAAAACUACCCGGCACAUGCGCAGAUUAUUUGUUUCCUAAUUAGAACACAGGAUGUCGGCACCAUCUUGUAAUGGCGAAUGUGAGGGCGGCUCCUCACACCUACCAUUUUAUAGGUGUAAAAUGACUGUGCUGGCAGUUGAUACAGUUCACCUCAACGGUGGUGAUCCUUCUGUGGAUGUAAAUUCAUUUUCAUCUGAAGCACGAUAAGAGGUUUUAAAUUUCAGAAUGUAAAAAUAUUUAGCCAUGGAUGUGAAAACCUUAAAACUGAAUGCCUAAAAUAGUGCUUAGGGCUGGAGAAGCGCCUCAGUCAUUAAUUCUAACUAUAGACAAUGCUUCCAGAGGACAGGAUGAAUGGAAGUUUCCAGCAGCCAUGCCAAGCAGCUCACAAGCUGCUGUCAGUCAAGUGCCCCUGUCAGUCCUCUGCAUGCACCUGCACACAUACAUACAUACAGACAGACAGACAGACACACACACACACACACACACUCACACACACUCACACACACACAGAUACAAAGAGACACACACACAGUCCCCCCACACACAGACACUAAAAUUAAUCUUUUAAAAAACAACAAAAGAAUUGCUAAAAAUGGACUUAUUAUAUGUUUCUAUGAGGAUAAUACAGCAAUCACUGGCUUUAUCCCUCAAAAUUAAUUUUAUAAACAGCUAUUCAGAAUUAACUUCAUUGUAAGUUUGUCAAAUGAUUUUCUGAAGAGAUGACCACUUUGAUUUUAUUUAGGUGCAAAGAAAAUUUAAGUAGUUUUUGAAUGAAUCUAGGGAAUGGACCUGCUGGAAAUGGAUAUUUAAAAAGAAUCAAACAAAUCCAAUAUUAAAAUAUACUAUAAAUCUAGUAUCAGACAUUUGUUUAUAAAUAAUAAAAUAACUAAAUAAACUCUGUAGUGCAGAAAGGUUCCAGUGUGUCUGACAUUUUAUGCUACUUGGUUGUGGUGCUCAUCUUAGUGUCAUGCAGUUUAAUCCUUCCACUAGGCAGUAAUUAGAUAUAUAAAGACAUGAAGGGAGUCUUUCAAAUACUACUGACAAGAUAAGGACUGAAACUCUGGAGAUAAUUGGACAGACCCAGCAACCACACCAUGGCCUUUGUAACUACACAUACGUAGCUCUGUCAAGCUCAUCUAUGUCUGAAAGAGAAAGAACUUAAUCACAGUAGACACCUGGACUUUGAUGAAGCUUAAGAAAUUGGUUGAGAAUGCUGAUUAUGGGGUGGAUCCCUGGA